rnacentral:rRNA from 1 species
AGAGUUUGAUCCUGGCUCAGGACGAACGCUGGCGGCGUGCUUAAAACAUGCAAGUCGAACGGACUUCUCAUGAAGCUUGCGAUUGAGAAGUUAGUGGCGGACGGGUGAGUAACGCGUGGGCAACCUGCCCCUGAGCCCGGGAUAACAGUUCGAAAGGACUGCUAAGACCGGAUAUUCUUGCGGAGAGGCAUUUUUCUGCAAGGAAAGGAAACGCUCAAGGAUGGGCCCGCGUCCCAUUAGCUAGUUGGUGAGGUAACGGCCCACCAAGGCGACGAUGGGUAGCCGGCCUGAGAGGGUGAACGGCCACACUGGGACUGAGACACGGCCCAGACUCCUACGGGAGGCAGCAGUUGGGAAUCUUCGGCAAUGGGCGCAAGCCUGACCGAGCAACGCCGCGUGAGUGAUGAAGGUUUUCGGAUUGUAAAGCUCUGUCUUCCGGGACGAUAAUGACGGUACCGGAGGAGGAAGCCACGGCUAACUACGUGCCAGCAGCCGCGGUAAUACGUAGGUGGCGAGCGUUGUCCGGAAUUACUGGGCGUAAAGGGCGCGUAGGCGGCCUGUCAAGUCAGAUGUGAAAUCCCCGGGCUUAACCCGGGAACUGCAUUUGAAACUGACGGGCUUGAGGGCAGGAGAGGAAAGCGGAACUCCCAGUGUAGCGGUGAAAUGCGUAGAUAUUGGGAGGAACACCAGUGGCGAAGGCGGCUUUCUGGACUGUAACUGACGCUGAGGCGCGAAAGCCAGGGGAGCGAACGGGAUUAGAUACCCCGGUAGUCCUGGCUGUAAACGAUGGGUACUAGGUGUUGGGGGUAUCGACCCCUCCAGUGCCGCAGUUAACGCAAUAAGUACCCCGCCUGGGGAGUACGGCCGCAAGGUUGAAACUCAAAGGAAUUGACGGGGGCCCGCAC